GUCUAAAUCCAGCACUAGGGUUACUGACUUUCUUCUUCGAGUCUGCUUCGGUAUUUGGGUGAACAGAUCAUUUGAUUCUAAAUCUGAUAGUUCUGUAAAAUUCUUGAUAAACAAUUGUGGAUCAAAGCACUCCAUCUUAUCAGAAUCAUUUUUAACAUCAGAAUCUUGAUUGAAAUUUCUUUUCGUCUGACACAAUGCUGAAUACAAGCUAGCAUUUUCUUUAACCAUCAUAGGUUCCUCGCAUGAUAUGCUAUCUUUUGUACUGCCAAAAUUAACAUCAUCUUCAAGGGCAGGCAGGACCAUGUUGUGGUCAGGUACAUCAAACAAGGUUGGCUCAUGAGACUUAUAAUCAGAAAUAUAGUUGAUGAUGUCAAAGUUAUCAUCAUCGAAGAAAUCUCCAAAGGGUAAGCUUGCCAUGAUCAUGUCAGAAAUGAAAAAGUCUGAUACAUCACAUGUUUCAUAGCCACAUAUGCUUCUUCUCUCAUCACUUUUAUCAGCACUUACUCCGGGCAUGUCAGUAUCACCAAUUCUCCCUAUUAUAGAACAGACAACCAAAACAUCAUAAUUUGCAAAUAGUCUUAGUCAUAAGUAAUAAGCAGCCAGAUAUAGUGGUGCAGGCAGUUUUUUUGUAGUCUACAUACAUGGCUUGAAACUCAAUAAAGCAAUGAAAGGAGCAAGGAUUAAUAUCAAGAAACAUUAUUGACUAGAAUAUGGCCAUAAGGCUAUUAUUGACUAUAUGCAAGAAACAUUCUAAGAUUCCAUUUUUCCAAUAUUGUCUUCAUUAAGCACAAGUGUCUCUACUAAUGUUAGAUUCCCCAAAAUAAACCUUAUGAAGCUUCUGUAAUGUACCUAGUUAUUAUCUCAUAAUCCCCUUAAUAUAUAUAUAGCAUUAGUAAGAAAAGAGAAAAACCUUAAAAGAAAUUAGAAAGUGCUUCAAAUAGGGAUGCUAAAGAACAAGAAACAGCAAAAAAGAGUGUCAGGUUAUGCACCUGAGGGGAAUUGUCAAUUAUGGCAACUUUUGUAAGAUCAACACCUAAUACAGUCAGAUCCUUUAUGUAAUUUCCAUGUGAAAAAAUGCAUGACUCGCGAUACACCCGGCGUGAAAUAAGUCUUCCAUCAGGAUCCAAUAUAUCAAGUAGUUGUUUUGCAUAUAUGCUUUGGCUGGCAGUAAAAAUAAUUACUUCAAACAUCUCUGACACUGUCUCCAAGAACGUCUGGAGGUUAGGCCUCUGUCUUACAUAUACUGUGUUCUCUUUCAUGUUGUAGAAAACAUUGAAAGUGAAAUCCGCAUCAUCACAAUGUUCAAGCGUGGAAUGAACAAGUGUCUCUGCACAAAAGCGAGUACAUAUUACUAAAGAUAACUACGUUUAGAAUCACACUCAUAUUCUAGUAAGACACACUAGAUUGGACCUAUGAUUGAAACGACAUUCAGUUCAUGACAGCAUUCACAUUGAAAUUUACAUCCAAUGCUAUAUGAAAUAAGUAUAACAUUAUUAACAAUCGCUAGGAAACAUGUUAAUUUCUUACCGUCUAAAUCCAGCACUAGGGUUACUGACUUUCUUCUUCGAGUCUGCUUCGGUAUUUGGGUGAACAGAUCAUUUGAUUCUAAAUCUGAUAGUUCUGUAAAAUUCUUGAUAAACAAUUGUGGAUCAAAGCACUCCAUCUUAUCAGAAUCAUUUUUAACAUCAGAAUCUUGAUUGAAAUUUCUUUUCGUCUGACACAAUGCUGAAUACAAGCUAGCAUUUUCUUUAACCAUCAUAGGUUCCUCGCAUGAUAUGCUAUCUUUUGUACUGCCAAAAUUAACAUCAUCUUCAAGGGCAGGCAGGACCAUGUUGUGGUCAGGUACAUCAAACAAGGUUGGCUCAUGAGACUUAUAAUCAGAAAUAUAGUUGAUGAUGUCAAAGUUAUCAUCAUCGAAGAAAUCUCCAA
rnacentral:lncRNA from 1 species